GCGACUCUUCUGCCUCAGCAUCCCGAGUAGCUGGGACUACAGAUGGCUCCCAGCAGCUGCUCCAACCCUGAGUUCUCUGGAGCAGCUCCAAUACCUGAGGACACACGUGAACUAUUCCCUGUGAAUUCCAGGACGACCACACUGACUAGCUGUGUGACCUCCAUGGAGUUGCUUAACCUCUCUGUACUUCAGUUUCUUCAUCUGAGAAAUGGGAGGAUAAUAAUGGGAUCUCCUUCUUGGACUACUGUGAAGAUUAAAUGCGACAAUAUGUGUGGAGGCUUA